GAAUGCCGGCCUGUCACGCCGGAGGUCGCGAGUUCGAGUCUCGUCCGGUCCG
rnacentral:tRNA from 1 species